AGCGUAAGCAUCCUGAUUUUGUAAAACGUUCUAACCAAGCAAGAGAUAAUCGGUUAUCUGGCCAAACAUUAGAGAAGUUUGACCCUGGCCAUCGCCAAGGUAGCAUAUCUACUCCUCAAGUGGUUAAAAAAAUGGCAAAGAAAAAGGAUGGAAUUUUACCAACUGCUGGUGAAGUCUAUGAGAGAAAUCAUUCUGUUUGUGUGGGCAAUGAUGAAGUUGAAUUGAUGGGUGACAAGUCUCAAAAAGUCAUGGUAUGAGUAUACUUCUAUAUUUUUCUAAGAUUACAAAAAAAUAUAUGGUAGUUAAUGUUUAGAGAUAUUAUGGAUUGUUUAUUUGUUUGUGUGAUUGAGUUGGAGGAUGAGAAUGAUUUGCCGGCAUUAAUCAUAUGAUUAAUGUGGUAUGGAAUAAUGUGAAUUGAAACAGGUUUAUUUUGAAGCCAUACCCUAUAGGAGGGAAUUCUUCAAUUUACAAAGGAGACUCUGUCGAAAUUUUUACUAAUAACUUCUUACAUAAAUUAUUUUGCUAUAAGUGUUGCAUCUUUUAUUUUAAAAAAAAAACAACGAUAAUAAAAAUACCCCUGAUCCUCUGUUCCCCGAUAGUUGUACCUUUGUAAUCUGGAACAUCUAUUAAGAGGUAAAAUGACACUUUUACCCCUAAUCCUCACAUUAAGGAAUUUCUAAACCAUCACCACCCACCCUCAAAUUAAAUUAAAUUGUGUUUUAGAAAUCCAAAAUAGUUUUAGGCUCGGACAAUGUCCCAAGUCAUUGCUUGUAUUUUUAUUAUAGUUGUUUUUAUUUAAAUGUAUUUAGUUUAUUUAAGUUUUAACAUUUGAGAUCAUAGUUACUAAUACAUAUCUUAAUGCAGGGAGAAUAUAUGGUUAACUUGAGGAAUAUAAGAAUAAAGGAAUUGAGAUAAACCCCGACAAAGUCUACUUGAAGGUUGUAGGUGGGCAACAGAAAGGAAAAGUCUACGGUUUAGGGAGUUCUUCACAAAUGUAUUACAAGAGCGAUCCUACUUCUCAAUCUACUGCAUCAUCUUCUACUCCUUCCAUGAUUUCUCAAUUAAGUUCUCAAGUUGAAGAACUAAAGAAGAUGGCGGAAAAAAACCAUAACAAGGUGGAAGAAAGCCAAAAAAUAGCGGCAGAGAGCUUAAAAUGUGCUAAGGAAUUCGUCGAAAAUCAUGAGAUCGAAAAAGCUACACGGAAGAAGGAAAAAUUAGCUAUGCAAAAAACAUUGCAGGAAAUGACAUCACUUGUAAAACAAGUUUACCGUCCUUAUAGCCUCCUACGCCUAUAGUCACCCGCUCUCGUGAUACAACUAAGUGAUUUUUAUUUUAUUGGUGGUAAUUUUAUGAACAACCGGUCUUUUACAUUGUCACUAGGUCUUAUUUGAAGCAGCUUUUUUUAUAUGGGAGGUGACUUUUGGAACAAUUCGUCAUAUGAGUUAAAUAUUGUUUUUUUAAUACAUUGAUACAAAAUUGAUUAUAUUUUGGAUAUUUGAAUAAAAUUAACAUUUUGGUUAUUUGAAUUUA